rnacentral:tRNA from 1 species
GCGUUUUUAGUUCAGUUGGUAGAACGUAGGUCUCCAAAACCUAAUGUCGUAGGUUCGAGUCCUACAAAGCGUG